rnacentral:rRNA from 1 species
ACGGUAACAGAACUAGCUUGCUAGUUGCUGACGAGUGGCGGACGGGUGAGUAAUACUUAGGGAUCUGCCUCUGUGUGGGGGAUAACUAUUGGAAACGAUAGCUAAUACCGCAUAACGUCUACGGACCAAAGAGGGCUUCGGCUCUCGCGCAGAGAGGAACCUAAGCGAGAUUAGCUUGUUGGUGAGGUAAAGGCUCACCAAGGCGACGAUCUCUAGCUGUUCUGAGAGGAAGAUCAGCCACACUGGAACUGAGACACGGUCCAGACUCCUACGGGAGGCAGCAGUGGGGAAUAUUGCACAAUGGGGGCAACCCUGAUGCAGCCAUGCCGCGUGUGUGAAGAAGGCCUUCGGGUUGUAAAGCACUUUCAGUUGUGAGGAAAGGUUAGUAGUUAAUACCUGCUAGCUGUGACGUUAACAACAGAAGAAGCACCGGCUAACUCCGUGCCAGCAGCCGCGGUAAUACGGAGGGUGCGAGCGUUAAUCGGAAUUACUGGGCGUAAAGCGCACGCAGGCGGUCUGUUAAGCUAGAUGUGAAAGCCCCGCGCUCAACGUGGGAGGGUCAUUUAGAACUGGCAGACUAGAGUCUUGGAGAGGGGAGUGGAAUUCCAGGUGUAGCGGUGAAAUGCGUAGAGAUCUGGAGGAACAUCAAUGGCGAAGGCAACUCCCUGGCCAAAGACUGACGCUCAUGUGCGAAAGUGUGGGUAGCGAACAGGAUUAGAUACCCUGGUAGUCCACACCGUAAACGCUGUCUACUAGCUGUUUGUGGAUUUAAUCCGUGAGUAGCGAAGCUAACGCGAUAAGUAGACCGCCUGGGGAGUACG